GUCAUAAGCACAAGGUACUCUCUUCUGGAUUGCUUUUGCAAAGACAGGUCCAUUCUGUGUGGAUGGCAAAGGGUUGAUCGCUGCCCCAGGAGUACUGGCAACUGUAGGUAGAGGAGUUGUGGUCUGAGGUUGAGCAUACGCAUGAGCAGGUUCUGGGAUGCCAUAACUGUUAGAAUUCCUAUUUCCAUGCUUUCCAUGUGGCGAAGACCUCACAAGCUUUUCAACGUAAGGGACAGGAAUCAUCCCAACCCGGCCGUCCUUGUUGCGGGCACUCCACCACUGCUCUUCAGGCUUUUCUAUUAUCACUAGAAGCUCGCCCUUUUUAAAGGGUAGGUCUUCAGCAUCAUUCCCAGGAAAAUCAUAAAGGGUCCGUACAUAUUCCAGAUUUUCUUCUGCUGUAGGAGAAGCUGGAUGUGGUCAGAGUCCAGACAAGACACACCCAGUAGCUCGAGGGCUAGCUAGCCUGGACUACUCUCUGGAUCUGGAACUGCA
rnacentral:lncRNA from 1 species